rnacentral:lncRNA from 1 species
AGAAAUAGAGGUUGACGAGAAUAAUGAUCGAUGAUAGACGAAAAAUUGAGUAGACGAGAAUUUUGAGAGUUUUGAGUUUUUCAAACGAGAUAUAGAAGCGAAGUGAGAAAAACAGAAAUCGCUUGUUUGUUUUUUUAUGACGAACGGCUAGUUUUGAGGCCGAUAGUUAUAUGUUUCUUUUCCUGUUUAGUAUGCCUCCGAGAAGAAGGGGGAACAGAAGGAACAUAGAUCGAGAAGAAGAGGAGGAAGAGGAGCAGAGAGAUCCCACGCCACCACCUCCC